CGGAUCUGCGAAUUAGAUAAUCCGAGUGAAGAACUCAACCAUUUAAAAUCUACACUACAAACGAUAACAAUUAAAUAAAUAAAAAAAUCAACAGAUGAAAAUCCCAAGAAAAAAGCGUUCCUGUCGUUCAUCACUGGCCUUACUGACAAGAUCAGCCGUUUCCUUGCACGACAUGACAUAAGAACAGUUUUUAAACCAAGCAGAAAAUUCAACAGCACUUAAGAUCACCUAAGGACAAAGAGGCAACACAGAGAGCAACAUCAGGAGUGUACCGUGUUACAAUCGAAAAAACGUAGAAACGUAAAGACAACUUCAAUAAGACUGAAGAAUCUCUGAAGAUUAGUCGAACGUGGGCACCAGUAAUUAUCAAGACUAAUAGACAAAAGCUAAACACAACGACACCUAUGCAGACUUCGACCUAUCAUCCUAGGAAGAAGAACUCCUGAACAUGUCGCCCAUGCGUGUCGACGGAACUUUGAGAGCAAAAAACUCCGAAGGAUUGCCAAAAAGCCCGAAAACCGACAAUACUAUUAUAUACAUUUAUUUCGUGAGUGACUUUCCUCUUUCAUUUUUCGUAUCGUUUUCGGGUCCAGUGAAAUGCGUUGGUGGGUAUGGAAGGAUUAGUGUUAAUAGGAAGAAGAUUAGUAUCCGCAGAUACACCAGGUCAAUCUCAAAGGUACUUUUAGCGCCCUUGAAACGCCACAAACAGUUUGGAUGCCUCGUUCCCCCAUUGGGUGUUUUUAAUUCUUAUUAAUUGAACCUUUUCUCUUAGCAUUCACUUCAGUGGUAUGAAAAGACAUUUUGAGGCCCGCAGAACAGUUGAUGAGUUUGCGGGGGUGGUGGGGGGCCCUCAACCAACCAGGAGGAGUUAGGGAUGUUGGUGCGGUGGAAUAUUUCACUACUCUGAACUUUUGUUCAUAAUUGCGUCGUGUUUUUUUAAGGCUUUUAAAAUGUAAAGCUAUCAAGAGAACCAUCGAUUUGUAAGUCCCGUGUAUGCCAUUACCACUACCGUCGCAGGAGUGUCUCCACCAGUUGGGAGGAUGAUCAGGUUUACUUCAAUGAACGGCAAGAAUUAUGAGAAAGAAUCGAACGUGGAAUUUUGAGAGAACGUGUUGAGGCCCGCAAAACAGUUGAUAAGUUUGCGGGGGUGGUGGGGGGUUCUCAACCAACCAGGAGGAGUUAGGGAUGUAGGGCUCUAAAAUGUAAAGUUAUCAAGAGAACCGUUGAUUUAUGAGUCCCAUGUGCGCCAUUACCACUAGCGUCCCAGGAGUGUCUCCAGCAGAUUGGAAGAUGAUCAGGUUUAUUUCAGUGAAUAGGAAGAAUUAUGAGAAAGAAUCGAACGUGGAAUUUUGAGAGAACGUGUUGAGGCCCGCAAAACAGUUGAUGAGUUUGCGGGGGUGGUGGAGGG